rnacentral:rRNA from 1 species
AGCGGCGGACGGGUGAGUAACGCGUGGGUAACCUGCCCUAUACACAUGGAUAACAUACUGAAAAGUUUACUAAUAACAUGAUAAUAUAGAUUUACCGGCAUCGUAGAUAUAUCAAAGUGUUUACCGGUAUAGGAUGGACCCGCGUCUGAUUAGCUAGUUGGUGAGAUAACUGCACCACCAAGGCGACGAUCAGUAGCCGACCUGAGAGGGUGAUCGGCCACAUUGGAACUGAGACACGGUCCAUACUCCUACGGGAGGCAGCACUGGGGAAUAUUGCACAAUGGGCGCAAGCCUGAUGCAGCAACGCCGCGUGAACGAUGAAGGUCUUCGGAUCGUAAAGUUCUGUUGCAGGGGAAGAUAAUGACGGUACCCUGUGAGGAAGCCCCGGCUAACUACGUGCCAGCAGCCCGGUAAUACGUAGGGGGCUAGCGUUAUCCGGAUUUACUGGGCGUAAAGGGUGCGUAGGUGGUCUUUCAAGUCGGUGGUUAAAGGCUACGGCUCAACCGUAGUUAGCCUCCGAAACUGGAAGACUUGAGUGCAGGAGAGGAAAGUGGAAUUCCCAGUGUAGCGGUGAAAUGCGUAGAUAUUGGGAGGAACACCAGUAGCGAAGGCGGCUUUCUGGACUGCAACUGACACUGAGGCACGAAAGCGUGGGUAGCAAACAGGAUUAGAUACCCUGGUAGUCCACGCUGUAAACGAUGAGUACUAGUGUCGGGGGUUACCCCCCUCGGUGCCGCAGCUACGCAUGAAGUACUCCGCCUGAAGAGUA